AAAACAAAAUUUCAGCAUUACCACUUUAUUCAUUAUAUCAAUAAAAGAAAUUAUUGAGUUUAUGAGUCUAGAUCCUACAAGCAAGCAGAUCUAUCACAUAAUUUAAAAUGAAGAUUUAUCUAUUAUAGUAAUUUAUUCUAAUAACGAAAAAGAAACUUUGGAUCAAAAAAUAUUUUCUUCUGAUGAGGUUUAUGAAUAUUAAAGUCUGUUGAAGUUUGGCCAUUAUGUGUUGGUAUACAAUUUAUUUAUGAUGUUACAGUAGUUAAACCAUCCGAGUACGAAACAUGUUUAAAAUCCACUAUUCUUAAUGAAUGGCAACUACCAACUAGAGAGGAAGCUAAGAGAAAGGUUCUAUUGGGUGGACUACAAGGGAAAGGGACAUAUACAUGAGAAUCUGGAAGGGCUAUAACAUUAUGUCUCAAGCCAUGGGACAAUAGGAAACGAAAUUCAAAGGAAAAUAUUACAAUACGUGGGAUGCAAAUUAUAGUGCAAAGAAUUGAGAAAAAGAAUUAUUAACAGUAGUUAUAGUUACGAUAGUUAAACCAUCCGACUACCAAAUAUAUUUAAAAUCCACUACUCUGAAUGAAUAGCAACUACCAACUUGGGAGGAAGCUGCGAGAACGAUUCUAUUGGGUGAACUACAAAGAAGACAUGAGCAUCUGGAAGGGCUAUAAAAUUAUAUUAUUAUUUCACGUCCCAAGCCAUGUUGGAAUAGCUGGGAGUGA